rnacentral:tRNA from 1 species
GCAUUAAUGGGGUAGUGGUAACCUGGGUCGUUGCCAACCCGCCGGGGGUUCGAUUCCCCCUUAAUGCA